rnacentral:rRNA from 1 species
UAACACGUGGGUAACCUGCCUUAUAGUGGGGGAUAGCCUUUCGAAAGGAAGAUUAAUACCGCAUAAGAUUGUAGUAUCGCAUGAUAUAGCAAUUAAAAGGAGCAAUUCGCUAUAAGAUGGACCCGCGUCGCAUUAGCUAGUUGGUGAGGUAAUGGCUCACCAAGGCGACGAUGCGUAGCCGACCUGANAGGGUGAUCGGCCACAUUGGGGACUGGGACACGGCCCAGACUCCUACGGGAGGCAGCAUG